AGAAAUACCGGCAGGGGAGACACCGUGAUCACGAAGGUGGUUUUCCCAGGGCGAGGCUCACCCGGUGCACUGCGGGUGUGCUGACCCUGCGAUUUCCCCAAAUGCGGGAACCUCGACUGCAUACUUUGUGGGGGACUGCGUUCGCGCUCUCCCCUA
ensembl:snRNA U1 U1 spliceosomal RNA